rnacentral:rRNA from 1 species
UACGUAGGCAGCGAGCGUUGUUCGGAAUUACUGGGCGUAAAGAGUGCGUAGGCGGUGUCCCAAGUCUGUUGUGAAAUCUCCCGGCUUAACUGGGAGGGUGCAGCGGAUACUGGGACGCUAGAGGGUGGGAGAGGUAAGCGGAAUUCCUGGUGUAGCGGUGAAAUGCGUAGAUAUCAGGAGGAACACCUGUGGUGUAGACAGCUUACUGGACCACUUCUGACGCUGAGGCACGAAAGCGUGGGUAGCAAACAGG